CCUGCGUAGCAGAACGACCCGCGAACGCGUUAACAAACACCCGGAGGGGGUGCGGAAGCAUUCGUGCCCCGAGCCCCCUCCGUGCCCCCGGUGCGCGUGACCUCGUCUCGCUCCGCCUCCCGGGCGGGCGGGAGGCCGGUCCCGUCGCCCUCGGGCAGAACAACGAACCCCCGGCGCGAAUCGCGCCAAGGAACCGGAAUGAAUGAAGAAGGGCACGUCUGCUGCCGCCGUCCCGUUCGCGGUGUUCGUGCGGGCCGCGACGCGACCCCUUUCUGUCGUGAAAAUAUAAAACGACUCUCGGCAACGGAUAUCUCGGCUCUCGCAUCGAUGAAGAACGUAGCGAAAUGCGAUACUUGGUGUGAAUUGCAGAAUCCCGUGAACCAUCGAGUCUUUGAACGCAAGUUGCGCCCCAAGCCAUUAGGCCGAGGGCACGCCCGCCUGGGUGUCACGCAUCGUCGCCCCCCCUAAAACCCUCGGCCCGUCGGGCUCCGGUUUGUAUCGGGGGGGGCGGAAAAUGGCCUCCCGCGAGCUCCGCGCUCGCGGUUGGCCUAAAAUCGAGUCCUCGGCAACGAUAGCGCCGCGACGAUCGGUGGUAACGCUUCGGGCGUGCCUCGUCCCCGGUCGCGUGCGCUCGUCGCUCGUCCGGACCCCUUCGAACCCUUCCGGCAUCCCCCGAACGAUGCUCGCGUCGCGACCCCAGGUC
rnacentral:rRNA from 1 species